AUUGAACGCUGGCGGCAGGCCUAACACAUGCAAGUCGAGCGAGCGGCGGACGGGUGAGUAAUGUAUGGGAAACUGCCUGAUGGAGGGGGAUAACUACUGGAAACGGUAGCUAAUACCGCAUACCAUCGGAUGUACCCAGAUGGGAUUAGCUAGUAGGUGGGGUAAUGGCUCACCUAGGCGACGAUCCCUAGCUGGUCUGAGAGGAUGACCAGCCACACUGGAACUGAGACACGGCCCAGACUCCUACGGGAGGCAGCAGUGGGGAAUAUUGCACAAUGGGCGCAAGCCUGAUGCAGCCAUGCCGCGUGUAUGAAGAAGGCCUUAGGGUUGUAAAGUACUUUCAGCGAGGAGGCGUUACUCGCAGAAGAAGCACCGGCUAACUCCGUGCCAGCAGCCGCGGUAAUUC
rnacentral:rRNA from 1 species